rnacentral:rRNA from 1 species
AUACGUAGGGUGCAAGCGUUAAUCGGAAUUACUGGGCGUAAAGCGUGCGCAGGCGGUUUUGUAAGACAGUGGUGAAAUCCCCGGGCUCAACCUGGGAACUGCCAUUGUGGCUGCAAGGCUGGAGUGCGGGAGAGGGGGAUGGAAUUACGCGUGUAGCAGUGAAAUGCGUAGAUAUGCGGAGGAACACCGAUGGCGAAGGCAAUCCCCUGGGCCUGCACUGACGCUCAUACACGAAAGCGUGGGGAGCAAACAGGAUUAGAUACCCUGGUAGUCCACGCCCUAAACGAUGUCAACUGGUUGUUGGGUCUUCAUUGACUCAGUAACGAAGCUAACGCGUGAAGUUGACCGCCUGGGGAGUACGGCCGCAAGGUUGAAACUCAAAUGAAUUGGCGGGG